AUGCUGAGUUGCCUGCUACGCUGGGUCGUGACUUUCGUGAGUCCUGGGAUUCCUGAACUUCAUGGAUCCUUUUGGGACGUUGCUACUGUUCCGGCUGGGACCUUGGAUCACUUCUGGACAUCGCUUUCGCUCACUGGCCCUGACCUUGCUGUGGAUGACUCCUGGACCAGCUUGACUAUGACCUUGUUACAUCCUGGAACGGGUUUGCUGAAACUUGGACUUUCCUUCCUGUUAAGGUCAGCAAACAUUUUGGACACUGAUCAAUUUUGGAUAAAACAUUCCUUCCAACAGUCAGUGGGACUUUUCUAACAAACCACAUGUGAUCACGCUUCAUCGGCACCAUUUUUCAAUGCCUUACAUUUUGACUAUUUAAAAUUACUAUACAGUAUAGUAUAUUCCACACAUGGUCACCUAUUUGGACCAUGUGUCAAAAAAUGGGUUCUCACUAUGUAUAAUAUAAAAGAAUGGAAAGAAUGGCUUUGUGGCUGCAGUUACUAUGGUACAGACUGAAUUUUUCUUUUGUGUCAGGAGCGACUUUAGAAACUGCAAGUCGCUUUUGGUGUGAGAGAAUUGGCAGUCUGCAAGGAUGUUGCCCAGGGGACGCCCAGAUGUUUUAUGUUUUACCAUCCUUGUGAGAGGCUUCUCUCAUGUCCCCACAUGGGGAGCUGGAGCUGACAGAGGGAGCUCACUCGUUCUCCCCAGAUUUGAACCACUGACCUAUCGGUCAGCAGUCGUACCGGCACAAGGGUCUAAUCCACUGUGCCACCGGGGGCUCCUACAGACUGAAUAAAAAUAUGGUAAUUUUUUUUGCAACCACAUCUUUCUUUUCCCAACUCAACACCAUCUUCCCUUUAGUCUGUAGACCGACACUGCAAUAAAACUUUCAGCCACUUACUCUCCUUCUCUGAUGCCAGGGAAGAUGGCUGAGAGAGCUAUUUGCCUACAUCCAGAAGGAAUCGAGAAAGUUUGAAAACAGCUUUAAAGGAACAAGCAGAGUGUCACAGCUUGGUCUACUGAGUGACCUUACUCAAAACGUGCACUGUUUGCAGAGGAAAGCAAUACCUUGUUUAGAUGCUCGUCUGGAGGGUGGGAAAGAAAGAAAGAAGCCCUCAAGAGUUUAAAAUGCAAAGCAGCUGCACUGCUCACCUGUAGUAAAGAGCUUUUGCCAAGAAAGCUUCUUGGCAUCCCCGUUUUCCCAGAGGUAGGGAGAGAGGCUGGAGGUGAAGGCUGCUUAUGCCUUGCAGGCAAAACUCAGGCUAUGCAUUCCCUUGCAAAUGUGGUAUGCCUUUUUGAGCAAUGCAGAAGAAAAGCCCACCUAGUCAUCUACUGGCAGUUUGGCACCAACACCAUCAGAUGAAUGAAAGAUAGAGGAGGUGGCCAAGCAGAUACCUGCUUUUGCAAUCAACCCUUUCUUCCAGAAUCAAGAGAAGCAAACACAUUUCCUGUCCUGAACAGUGCUUUCCUUAUUUUAUUUCUCUUCCUGCAUGUUGGGACACUCUACUUGGUCCUUUUAAGAUGGUUCCAAACUUUUCCAAAAUCUUCUAAGGUGUGGCCAAAUAAGGUGCUACUUGCUUAUUUGACAAUUUCUGUUUUUAAAACUAUUUUUACCUUUUGACAGUGCCUUGGUCCCUGUCUGAAAUAUGAACAGCUUUGCUAAGAAUGAUAAACUGAAAGAAAUGUACAACUUUAAAAAACAUUUCAUAUUAGGAACACUAUUACUUGCAAGCGAUGAAGCAUAUAAGAAAAGCAGGAAGCUCAAAGGUUGUGAUGUGAUCCUAUACUUAUUUAGUCAGACAUUCCACCAACUUAAUUAUUUUUAUUCCCAAGGAAGUGAACCUAGACAGUAGUUUUAUAAUAGUGCAAUGGAAACUGAUUGGACAAUUUUAGAUUGCCUUCCUCAAUAUUAUAAGCAGAGUCAGCAAGGAAUUGUUCAUAUAGAUGGGUAAAAGAGAACAUUGAACAGACUUCUGCAACAAGGCAGCACUAUUUGCAUUCAGUAGUUUAUAACAUUCCAUCUACCUUCUAAUACAGAACUUCAGUGAAACAGCACAUUUAAAUAAAACUCAGAUGUUGUUUCCUAUCAGAAACUAGGAGGCCACAAGUUUCCAAAGAGCAAAGGCUUUAUUUAAACACAGGCAUACAGUUUGGCACUUUUGCAUAACCACUUGAGUAGUGCCACCUCUCCCAUCCCAUUCUGCUUCAAGCCCUCCCAUCUCACCCUGUUGGAGGCUGCUGCAGUGACGUGUCCACCUGAGUUUCCGGAGUGUGGCAUUAACUCCUUGGCUGCCACGGCCCCCGGCGACAAAGUUCUGUAGUGCACUGACUUCUAUCAUAAUCAGAGUCCGAGUGUCACAGAACUUUGCUUCCAGAGACCAAAUCUGCUUUUUCCUCCAACCUAUGUCAUCAAUCGAAUGGCCUUUUCCUCUUGCCAACUAAAAAGCAAAAACAAACAAGAGAGACAGUUAAGACCCCAAGAAAGUCACCCAUGGAGAUAAAAAAAGGGGUGACACAAAGUUUAACAAGUUCUCACUCACAGGUAUGGACAUUCCGAUUCUGGAUCCCAAAGUAAAACAAUUAUCAGUGAGCAGCAUUUCUAACUAUGAGCACUGGCCUAUUCAGGUACUCCAAGCUUUGUGCAAUAGCAGAUGGUUUUUUAAAAAUUAAAAACCCACAAUCCAUAUUGGCAGCUUGUUUCUUCUCUUUCCCAGCAACUAGAAGUAGGCGACAGACAGAAAUAUAUCUGUAAUGUACAUUCCCACAUAUGUUUUAGACAUAACUUCAGCUGCACAGUAAGAAAUGAAGCAAAGCAGUAUCAUUGAAGGCCACGUCUACACACCAGGCAUGGAAAAUACACCCACUAUCUAUCAGAGCUAACCAAUCCCUAUAGGAACAAAAGCUCUUCCCGCACCCUGAGCCCCCUGUUCACCAAGGAGGCUGGAAAGACAUGAACUGCUGCAUGCCAUGCUUUGUCACCUUGGCAAGAGGGAAGGAGCCCACCUGUCUGAAAUUGCCCAUGAGCCCACAGCAGUCAGGAGUGGCCACCUAAGGCAACCCUCCUUAUCCCACAAUUAUUCAAGCAGCAUGGGGAAUCCUGCCCACCAGAAGGUCUGGAAGCAAGACAGAAGGACUGUGUCCCCUUGCCAAGGGAGAGGGAGCCCACCUAUCUCUUCCACAUGUGAAUCUAGAGUUGCCUAUGAAACCACUGCAGUCUGAAGUGGCUGCAUAAGGCAAACCUAUCUCUAAGGCAACCCUUUUAUCCAUAAGACUUCUACCUCUAUAUGGGAAACCCUGCUCACCAAAAACAUCUGGAAACAAGACAAGGAACCACUGCAAGUCCAGUGUAGGCAGAGGUGGCUCCCUAAGGCAACCCUGCUAUCCCAUAGGCACUCAAGCCUGCAUGAGGAACCCUGCUCACCAGAGGUUCUAGAAACAAAACCACACAAGAAAGCAUGUAAAGCUUUGUUCCUUGCCAAGAGAUA
rnacentral:lncRNA from 1 species